GACACAAAAAGAGGCAAGGGAAGAAAAUGGCAGUUCCAUAGAAGUUCCAUGAAGAAAGAACUCAGGAGGAUGGGGCUUCCCUGGUCUACCGAAUUUAGGAAUGACCAUCUGACUAAUUUGUCCAAUCAAAUGUGGGCAGAAGCAGUGCAUGCUGUGUUCAAGCAGAAGUCUAAGAGCUAUCACAUGAUUUUCCACGUUUCUUUCUCCACUGCAACCUUCCAAUGAGAAGGUGCUCUUUCAGUCUAGAUUCCAGAACAAACCAAACGCGGAGCAGAGACCACAGCAGAUCUACAUUACAUCUGCAGCAUGAAUGAAAAAUAAACCUUUGUUGUUGUAUGUCA